UGAGGAAUAUUGGUCAAUGGGCGGGAGCCUGAACCAGCCAAGUCGCGUGAGGGAAGACGGUCCUACGGAUUGUAAACCUCUUUUGCCGGGGAGCAACGGGGUCCUUGCGAGGGCCCGAUGAGAGUACCCGGAGAAAAAGCAUCGGCUAACUCCGUGCCAGCAGCCGCGGUAAUACGGAGGAUGCGAGCGUUAUCCGGAUUUAUUGGGUUUAAAGGGUGCGUAGGCGGGCUGUUAAGUCAGCGGUCAAAUGUCGGGGCUCAACCCCGGCCUGCCGUUGAAACUGGCGGCCUCGAGUGGGCGAGAAGUAUGCGGAAUGCGUGGUGUAGCGGUGAAAUGCAUAGAUAUCACGCAGAACUCCGAUUGCGAAGGCAGCAUACCGGCGCCCGACUGACGCUGAGGCACGAAAGCGUGGGUAUCGAACAGG
rnacentral:rRNA from 1 species